rnacentral:rRNA from 1 species
CCUACGGGUGGCAGCAGUGGGGAAUAUUGGACAAUGGGGGCAACCCUGAUCCAGCCAUGCCGCGUGUGUGAAGAACGCCCUCGGGUUGUAAAGCACUUUCAGUGAGGAAGAACGCCUGGUGGUUAAUACCCAUCAGGAAAGACAUCACUCACAGAAGAAGCACCGGCUAACUCCGUGCCAGCAGCCGCGGUAAUACGGAGGGUGCGAGCGUUAAUCGGAAUUACUGGGCGUAAAGCGCGCGUAGGUGGCUUGAUAAGCCGGUUGUGAAAGCCCCGGGCUCAACCUGGGAACGGCAUCCGGAACUGUCAAGCUAGAGUGCAGGAGAGGAAGGUAGAAUUCCCGGUGUAGCGGUGAAAUGCGUAGAGAUCGGGAGGAAUACCAGUGGCGAAGGCGGCCUUCUGGACUGACACUGACACUGAGGUGCGAAAGCGUGGGUAGCAAACAGGAUUAGAUACCCGAGUAGUC